rnacentral:tRNA from 1 species
GGAGAGGUGUCCGAGUGGUCGAAGGAGACGGUCUUGAAAACCGUUGAGCCUCACGGGUUCCGUGGGUUCGAAUCCCACCCUCUCCG